rnacentral:rRNA from 1 species
UACGUAGGUGGCAAGCGUUGUCCGGAAUUAUUGGGCGUAAAGCGCGCGCAGGCGGUCCUUUAAGUCUGAUGUGAAAGCCCACGGCUCAACCGUGGAGGGCCAUUGGAAACUGGUAGGCUUGAGUGCAGGAGAGGAGAGCGGAAUUCCCGGUGUAGCGGUGAAAUGCGUAGAUAUCAGGAGGAACACCGGUGGUGUAGACGGCUUACUGGACCAUAACUGACGCUGAGACACGAAAGCGUGGGUAGCAAACAGG